rnacentral:ncRNA from 1 species
AAAAUUCUAUGUGAAAAAUUAUACAUAUAAAUAAAUUUUUUAUGGUUUAAAAAAUUUAUUUUGAAUUUAUUUUACAUAUAAAUUUUAGUGUUAAAUAUUAAUUAUUUUAAUAAUAAUUAUUUUUAACGUAGUAAUUAAUUUUAAAAAUUUAAGAAAUUAAGAUUUAGUAAUAUUUAAAUUAAUAACUAAUUUUGUGCCAGCAGUUGCGGUUAUACAAAAAUUAAUUUAAAUUUUUUUAGUGAUAAUAAUUAAUUUAUUUUAAUAAUUUAAAUUUUAAUUUAUUAAGUGAAAUUUUAAUUUAAUAAAAAAUUAUUUAAAAAUUAUGAUUUAAUAAAUUUUAUUAAAAACUAGGAUUAGAUACCCUAUUAUUAAGAAUUUAAAUUUUAUAAGACUAAAAUAGUAAGUAUUUUAUUGAAACUUAAAUAAUUUGGCGGUAUUUUAGUUUAUUUAGAGGAAUCUGUUUAAUAAUUGAUAAUCCACGAAUAAAUUUACUUAAUUUAUUAUUUUAUAUAUCGUUGUUAAAAAAAUAUUUUAGAAUAAUAAUAAUAUUUAAAAAUUUAAAAAUAAAAUUAAAUCAGAUCAAGAUGUAGAUUAUAAUUAAGAAUAUAAUGGAUUACAAUAAAUUUAUUUAAAUUGGAUUUUAAUAUGGAAAAGAUUAAAUGAAAUUGGAUUUAAAUGUAAUUUUAUUUAAAUUAAUAAAAUGAUUAUUAAUUAAAAUAUGUACAUAUUGCCCGUCGCUUUCAUUUAUAAAUUGGAAUAAGUCGUAACAAAGUAGAGGUACUGGAAAGUGUUUCUAGAAAGAU